GACUCUAAGCGGUGGAUCACUCGGUUCUCGGGUCGAUGAAGAACGCAGCCAGCUGCGAGACUUGGUGUGAAUUGCAGGACACACUGAGCACUGAUUCUUUGAACGCACAUUGCGGCCUUGGGUCUUCCCUUGGCUUCGUCUGUCUUCGUCUGU
rnacentral:rRNA from 1 species